rnacentral:rRNA from 1 species
UUAAGCUAAGAAGAGCGUAGGGAGAAUGCCUUGGCAUUAGGAGCCGAUGAAGGACGUGAUAAGCUGCGAUAAGCUGCGGGGAUCAGCAAGUAUGAAUUGAUCCGCAGAUUUCCGAAUGGAGCAAUCCGUAUGUGUAUGCACAUACAUCAUAUACUGAAUCAAAUAGGUAUAUGAGGGGAACCGCCUGAACUGAAACAUCUAAGUAGGGCGAGGAAGAGAAAUCAACCGAGAUUCUGUGAGUAGUGGCGAGCGAAAGCGGAAGAGGCUAAACCAUAGGUAGCAAUACUUAUGGGGUUUCGGACAGCAUUUAGUAUUGAUAAUUUCUAGUUGAAACGUGUGGGAAAACGUACCGAAGAGUGUGAGAGUCACGUAAGCGAAAGAGAAAGUCAGCGAGCUGUAUCCAAAGUACCGCGGGACACGUGAAACCCCGUGGGAAGAUGGGGGGACCAUCCUCCAAGCCUAAAUACUACCUAAUGACCGAUAGCGAAUAGUACUGUGAAGGAACGGUGAAAAGAACCCCGGGAGGGGAGUGAAAAAGAACCUGAAACCCUAUGCUUACAAGCACCGAGAGCACGUCAAAGUGUGAUCGGGUACCUUUUGUAGAAUGGUCCGGCGAGUUAUUGUAUGCGGCAAGGUUAAGUGCUUAAGGCACGGAGCCGAAGCGAGAGCAAGUCUGAACAGGGCGAGUAAGUCGUAUGCAAUAGACCCGAAACCGAGUGACCUAUCCAUGUCCAGGCUGAAGUGGAGGUAAAACUCCAUGGAGGGCCGAACACACGUCCGUUGAAAAGGCCGGUGAUGAGGUGUGGAUAGCGGAGAAAUUCCAAUCGAACUCGGAUAUAGCUGGUUCUCUCCGAAAUAGCUUUAGGGCUAGCCUCGUGAAAGAUUACUGGAGGUAAAGCACUGAAUGGGCUAGGGGUCGAAAGAUUACUGAACCCUAUCAAACUAAGAAUGCCAGAUAAUUGAUUCACGGGAGUCAGACAAUGUGAGAUAAGUCUCAUUGUCAAAAGGGAAACAGCCCAGACCCACAGCUAAGGUCCCUAAACAUUGUUAAGUGGAAAAGGAUGUGGGGUUGCAUAAACAACCAGGAUGUUGGCUUAGAAGCAGCCACUCAUUAAAAGAGUGCGUAAUAGCUCACUGGUCGAGUGACCCUGCGCCGAAAAUUCAACGGGGCUAAACAAUGUACCGAAGCUUGGGAUUCUAAAGUAAUUUAGAGUGGUAGGAGAGCGUCGAAUAAGGGGUGAAGUCAGAGCGGAAGCGCUGGUGGACUUUAUUCGAGUGAGAAUGCCGGAAUGAGUAGCGAGAAUUAUGUGAGAAUCAUAAUGGCCGAAAAUCUAAGGUUUCCUGAGGAAGGUUCGUCCGCUCAGGGUAAGCCGGGGGCUAAGGCGAGGCGGAGACGCGUAGCCGAUGCACAUACGGUUGAAAUUCCGUAGCCACCGAAAGAUUUAAGUACAGGGACGCUUUAGAAGUGAUGUUGCCGGGCGAUGGUUGACCCGGUCGUAAGGGAUCGAAAAUGAGUAGAGAAGUCAUCAUGGAAAGAGACAAGAAAAGCUGUAUGAAUAUCUUAGGUGCCCGUACCGCAAACCGACACAGGUAGAUAGGAAGAAGAUUCUAAGGCCAACGGGAGAAGGGUUGUUAAGGAACUCGGCAAGUUGACCCCGUAACUUAGGGAUAAGGGGUGCUCAAGUGAUUGAGCCGCAGAGAAUAGGCCCAGGCGACUGUUUAGCAAAAACACAGGUCUCUGCUAAAUCGAAAGAUGACGUAUAGGGGCUGACACCUGCCCGGUGCCGGAAGGUUAAGAGGAGAUGUGAGAGCAUUGAAUUGAAGCCCCGGUAAACGGCGGCCGUAACUAUAACGGUCCUAAGGUAGCGAAAUUCCUUGUCAGGUAA